rnacentral:rRNA from 1 species
AGCGAACGCUGGCGGCAGGCCUAACACAUGCAAGUCGAGCGCCCGUAGCAAUACGGGAGCGGCAGACGGGAGAGUAACACGUGGGAACGUACCCUUCAGUUCGGAACAACCAAGGGAAACUUUGGCUAAUACCGAAUACGUCCGUAAGGAGAAAGAUUUAUCGCUGAAGGAUCGGCCCGCGUCUGAUUAGCUAGUUGUGAGGUAAUGGCUCACCAAGGCGACGAUCAGUAGCGGUCUGAGAGGAUGAUCAGCCUCAUUGGGACUGAGACACGGCCCAAACUCCUACGGGAGGCAGCAGU